UUUUCACCUCUUAUUUUCUUCCACACUCUUUUCUUUUCUUCCUUCCCCUUUCUACACACUGCCUGCCCUCCUCCUCCCGCCGCCGCCUCAUCCCGCCGACGUCCUCCUCCUUCCGCCGCCGUCGUAUCCCGCUGCCUCUUCUCGUUUUCUUUUAAUUUCUCUUCUUCUCUUUUUAUUUUCUCUCUGCCGUUGUGUCCAAUCGCCACCGUCGUUCUCGGCCUCCUUCAUCUUUUCUUUUUCUUUUUUUUUGCUUCUCCUCUUUUUCUCUUCUCUUUUUCUUUUUGCCGUCUCAUCGCCGCUGUCGUCAAUCCCCAGGGUUUUUGUCUGCCUCAUCAUCUCUGUUGUUCCUACCAAGUAAGCUCUGGUGUUCUUGCCCAACAGUGCAGAAUUCUUUUCUUAAUCAUUGUUAUCUAUUUGUUUUGUUUGUAUUAGUUGUUUUUUUGGGAAAAGGAGGAUGCUUUAAGGAGCUUUUGUCUGAUGGUAUAUCCCUAACUUUAUUUGAAAAAGACUAUUUUGCCUAUGAAAGGAGAAUGUUGCAUCUAACAAAUGAAGAGCUUCAACGAAAUAGCUAGUAGGAAUGUUAUAGGGAGCAUGAAAGGAGAACAGUUACACCUGCUGCUAGGGAAUCCGUAAGAUGAAGGUUGCUCGAAGAAAAAGAAAGAACGAUAGCAGACGACCAUAGGGGAAGAACAAGUUGCAGCCAAGCAUGAGAACAUCAGACACAGUAUCUAGUAAGAUCAGGACAAAGAGGGAACCAUCAAUAUCGAGGGCAAAAGUAGAAAAUGUGGGGAAGUAGAUAGAAAAAUUGAAGUAACAGAUAGAUGAACUGAAGAAGAGAGGCGAGCUGGUGAAGCAAAACAAGAACUCACCUUUUGCCAACAAAUUCUAACCGAACUCGUGGAUCCAAAUUUUCGACUAUCCGGUCUUCCCAAAUAUGAUGGGUUAAAGGAUCCACAAGAGCACAUUUUUCCCUUUGAAUUGAUAAUGAACUUGUAUGGACAAACUGAUUCGAUUAAUGCAAAAUUGUUUGAGAGAACUUUGACAGGAAAUGCGCAAGAAUUAGCCGAGUGGAACCAUCGAAUCAUAUGGAUAGUUGGUGCAGAAGUUCACGUUUCACUUUGCCAGUAAAAGGAGGGCGAAGAGGUCAGCGACCUACCUCUUCAUGGUCCGAUAGAAAAGUGACGAGUCCCUCAAAAGUUUCAUAGGGAGGUUUAACAAUGAGACCCUUGAGGUACAAGAUCUAAGGAUUGAUAUAAUGACGAGCAUAUUGAUACAUGGGUUGAAGAAGCGACCGUUUCCAUCGGCAUUAGCACGGGAUCCUCCUGAAAAUGUAGAACAAUUAAUGCAGUUCGCUCAAAAAUACAUCGACGAGAAAGAUAUGAACACAAUCAAGGACAAGGAAUAGAGUGGAGGUCGAGAUAGGCAAAAGCGACCUGAUGAGAAAAAAGUCUAUCCAACCGAAAUACCACAGGUAUACACUGUUGGUUACUUCUAGAGCAGAAGCCAUGAUGAUGGUUGAAGGGGACAACCUGCUGUAAUGGCCCAGAAAACUAGAGGAACGCUUGGGAAGAGGGAUUCCAAGAAGUAUUGUAAGUUUUACAGGGAUAAAGGGUAUGACACGGAGGAUUGUUAUCAAUUGAAGGAUGAGAUGGAAUGAUUGUUCUGGCAGGAAUACUUCAAGGACAUCAUACUGAAAGCAGGAGGUAGAGAUAAAAAAUCCCCUAGCAAAGCAAGAAACAUAUUGCAUAGUAGGUCGCCAAGCAGAGGAAAGCUCGAGAAGGAAGGAACAAAGGAAGGAUGAUGCGAUAAUGAUCCUGUGAAAGGAGUUAUUUGGUGAAGAUGGCAGCUCAAGAAUAUAGGUAUGUCUAUAUUACUAUUAUUUUUACCGAGAGUAUUAGCUUUUGCAAGAAUCAAUAUUUUUGCUAGCGUUAAAAUUUAGGGAUCAUAUGUGCACUUCUGUAAUAUCUUGAGAAAGUGGCUAUAUUCUGUGUAAGAAAGCUCGCGUAAAAUAAAAAGCACUUUUUGAAAUAAUUUACAUCGCAAUAAAAUAUUACCGACCUGGGAAAGGUCGCUAUUUUAAGGACUAUUCGAUCUAUGAAAGAUGGUGUCUGAAAAAGACCAUGUCUGAGAAAGACCAAGCGACCUGAGAAAGGUGAGUCUGAAAAAGACCGGUGUCUGAGAAAGACCACGCGACCUAAAAAAGGUGAAGAUCGUCUGGAAAAGACUACGACCUAAAAAUGGGGAUCAAAUCUGUUUGAAAAAGACCACGUGACUUGAGAAAGGUCUAAACUGCAUCUGAAAAAGACCACGCGACUUGACAAAGGUGAAGAUUGUCUGAAAAAGACAAUGUGACCUGAAAAAGGUGAAGAUUGUGCGUCUGAAAAAGACCACACGGCCUGAAAAAGGCGAUCAAUUCUGUGUCUAAGAAAGACCAUGCUAUUUGAAAAACCUUGUGUGAUCUGAAAAAGAUCAGUUUCCAAAAAGACCAAGCGACCUUGGAAAGAUUGCUAUCCGAAGAACACAUGAUCUGGUGAUUUGAAAAAGAUCUUGCUAUCUGAAAAGAUGGACUUGAAAGCGACCCAAUUAUUUCGAUAUAAAGUGGAUCGCGUUUAAGAGAACAUUAUUGAUUCUAUUUAUUCCAUGGAAUUCUUCAAAGUUAUCAUUAAUAUGCAGAAUGAUUACAAGUCUUCUAGAAACUAAGGGGAGAUCGCUAUUACAAAAACAUGAAAUGGGAAGAUAAUGGAUGCAAUCUUCAUGAAAGUCAUAAUUACAAAUUAUGAAGUUCCUAAAGCCUGUUUAUCUGUCUCGUCCUCGACCAUCUUCUCGAUCUCAUCCACCAAGACUUUGAAUUCAUCUUCAUACUUUAGUGGUGAUCCUUCAGGGAAGGUUGCCAGGUUUCCAUCCAGAGCGGAGUCAAGCCAGUUGAUAUCAAAACCUUCCACAAAGCCCUUCAAUUUUUUGAUUUGAGAGGUACAACGAUCGAAGCCCUGCAUCAGGUAGUCGGAAGAUUUGAUCUCUACAUUGACCUAGAAUGCAAGGACUUGAGGAAAUCUCUGGCACCCUGUAUUAGAGUAUCCGAUAGAAGCUGCUUGUGAUCAUCGGAUGCCAGAUAUCGAUUGCGACCUUGAUCGCGAGCAACUUCCAACCGCUGCUUCUGAUCCUCAAAAGCAAGGUAAUCUUCUCGGCCAGCUAUCCGACCUGUAGAGAAGGCUUCAACCUUGGCCAAUUCUUUGGCAGCAGUGAUGGCAGACUGAAACUUUAGAGCUUGUGCUCGCAAUUGCGCCUAGAAUUCAGUCGUCUCUCUUUCACAGAUCGUUAGCUUCGCCUUCUCUUCUUCGAGUAAUUUAACAGCGACCAGCUUCUCAUGUUGCCAAUAGGUGCACUUCAAUAAAAGGUGAUGGCUAAAAGCAGAAACCUACAUACAUCAGCAGAACAUAAUUAAUAGAUCGGUGAAAGAUAAUAUGCGACCUAUAUUGCUAAAGAGUAUUACCUGAGAGAGGGAAUGAGCAAGGUUUUUCUUGACCUGAAUAUGCGAGAGAAAGAAGCCAAAAGAGCUUGGUCGCAAGGCAGAACGGUGGACUUGUAUAACUCCCAUGAAUCUUGGCCGAUAUGAGACUUUAACACGGAGCUCUGACCAGAAAUAACCCAAUUAGGUAUCAAUCUCUCACCUUCCGUCUCUGCAGGUUUGUAGGAGGGGGAUCCCAAUUCUACUUGGGCCUCCUUCCACCAGGUUAUAAGCUUAUUGACCACUUUCAAGUUGUCCUCCUCCUCAGCCCGUGAAAUAGCAGUCUUGGCCUUCUUACGAGAGGAUGAGGGGCUAGAUUACGAGCUCCUAUUUUUCCUCUUGCGCCCUUCAGCGACCUCCUUGCCGUUGGACCUUCUUCUGAGUGGCUCAGGGUCGAACUCUUUGAUAGACUCUUCGACCAACGGAGAUGGGUUUUUGGUCGCAGGGUCAGUAUCUUCACUGGCGAUCUCGAUAGGACUGAUGGAUCGAUAUUGGAGCUCGUUCUCAGGGGCAACAGAAGUACGAUCAACCUGAGACCUCGGGAUAUCUCUGGUACGAGAAGGGGGACAUGAUGAAUCAGUUUCUUGAGUGAUGAUGGGUCGCUUGGCCUUCAUCGCAUGAAGUCUUUUUGAGAUCCGAGCUUCCAUUAUAAUAGAGUCUGCAAGAAAGGAUUGGUUAUAUGAAAGCGAUUUAAAGGGAAUGAAGGAAAAAGAAUAAGUUACCUAGAUAACCCUGGACUUAGAUGGAUGCGGGACUGAGACCAGCUAACUUCAAGGUAUUCUCCGUCAAGAGUUUGAUUAGCCUUGUAUUGAUAUUGGGUGAGAUUACCAAUUAAGUCAUCUUCUAGUCCUACACUACGAGUCUUGGGCUCGGGUUUUGUGGUGCGCCAUUCACAAGGAAAAGGCCAAACCUGAUUAGGUGGGGGUCGAAUAAAGAAAAAUUUGUCUUUUCAGGGACCAACAUUUGAUUUUAAAAUAGAAAUGGAGGAACAAUGAGGUUUAGCAGUGAGAUAGAAAAAGCCUUGGUCACCUGACCUCUUCGAGGUCGUGAACUUAUAAAGAGACCUAAAGUUGUCAAAAUCCGGUUCAAGCUCUAGAUGCCUCAUGAUUAUGAUAAAAGCAAGUAUAUGACGAAUUGAGUUCGGGGCUAAUUGCAUUGGGCAUAUUUCCAACCUAGAUAGUAUGAGAGCAACAGGUCGCAGAACUAUGAAACGCAAGCCUGCAUCUAAAUGAACUACAGAGAUUGGACAGCUACCAGGAGGAAGCUGGUUCAUCCGAUCAGAAGAAGAAGGAAGAAUGAUUUCAAAACUUUGGGGGAUGUGGUAUAUCUUUCUAAUCGUCGUGACAGUCAUCUGCAAGGUACUUUCAAUGCUAAGCCAGGUUUCGUUGACCAACAAUGUUUCAUACUGUUCGAGGAUCAAAGCAGGGGUUACAACCUCUAAGUCAUCUACAACUGUCCUAGAUGGGCCAAUAUGAUCCUUACGAGCUAAAGGCAUAUGAGAGGUCACAGAUGAACUACCAGAUGAACUACUAAAAGAUGUGCUAAACUCUGAAGAACUAGAACUCGAAGGCAUGAUUAAACAGAAAAGGGAGGCCGUAGAGAAAUACCUGGAAGUGGAGGAACCUAGAGAGAGCAGAUCUAGUCAAGAGAAAGUAGCUCGCAUUUAGAGGGAAGUAGAUCACAAAUGAGUGGCACGACUGAUGUCAAAUUCUCCCAUAUUUAUAGGGGUCAGACCAUGGAGAUGCAUGCCAAAAUCAAGGGCUGUAUGCUAAAGAAGAUAGGAUGAUCUAAAGGUUGAGAUCAAAUGACUCUUCGACUUUUCUUACCGUGCUCCGCACACUAAGAAGAAAUGGGGGAGUAAUGAUGGGUAUAACGCUAAUUUUGUCUAAAAAAGACUAUUUUGUCCCUGAAAGGCCUCAAAAUUACAAUCUUACCCAGAAGACUGGUGACUUCCUAAUUGGGUCGGAUCCAGUGACCCGAUCCUGACAACCCAGGACACAUGAAAGACAUCUACUGGACCAACAGAACCCCCAGUUUUAUACUAUAAAUACUCCAAGUUUAGUGCAUUUAUGGUAUGCCUUUCCUACUAGUCUUUACUUUAGAUCACUCAGACUCGCUAGCUCGUCAGCGACCUGCUUCCACGACCUUGAUACCAAGCAUUGACCUAAGCAUCGGAGGGA